rnacentral:rRNA from 1 species
CCAAUAGCGUAUAUUAAAGUUGUUGCAGUUAAAAAGCUCGUAGUUGAAUUUCGGGAUUGACGGGAUGGUCAUGCCUUAAGGGGUAUGAACUGUCACUGUUGAUUUCUCACCUUCUGGAGAAACUUGAUGUCCUUUAUUGGGUGUCUUGCGGAUCCAGGACCUUUACCUUGAAAAAAUUAGAGUGUUUAAAGCAGGCAUUUUUGCUCGAUUACAUUAGCAUGGAAUAAUAGAAUAGGACGGCAUGGUUCUAUUUUGUUGGUUUCUAGGAUCAACGUAAUGAUUAAUAGGGAUAGUUGGGGGCAUUAGUAUUCAAUUGUCAGAGGUGAAAUUCUUGGAUUUAUUGAAGACUAACUACUGCGAAAGCAUUUGCCAAGGAUGGUUUCAUUAAUCAAGAACGAAAGUUAGGGGAUCGAAGACGAUCAGAUACCGUCGUAGUCUUAACCAUAAACUAUGCCGACUAGGAAUCAGACGAUGCUUAUUUUUUAAUGACUCGUUCGGCACCUUACG